UCUAGAAAACUGCAAAAGCCUUAUAAGUCUUCCAAGCAAGUUUGAAAUGGAGUCUCUUGAAAUUCUCAUUCUUUCUGGCUGUUCAAAAAUCAAGUGAAUUCCAGAAUUUAUGGGAAGUAUGAAACACUUAUCAAAACUUCACUUAAAUGGCACUGCUAUUAUAGAACUUCCCUCUUCAAUUGAACAUUUAACUAAUCUUGAAGAACUAUCUUUUCGAGGAUGUAAAGAGCCACCAUCUAAACUAUGGAAUAAGCUUUUUCCCUUUAAUUUAAUGCAAAGAAGAAGCCAAAAUCCGGUGACCUUGUUAUUGCCUUCCCUAUUGGGUAUGUGUUCUUUAAAGAGAUUGGACCUAAGUGACUGUAGUCUCUAAAAAAUUCCUAAUGAUUUUGGAAACUUAUCAUCUAUAGCUGUUUUAAAUCUAAGUGAAAAUCACUUUAGUUGCCUUCCUGAAAGUAUCAGGCAACUAUCUAAAUUGUUGGCAAUUUAUUUACACAAUUGCACAAGACUUUGUUCAUUGCCACAAUUGCCAUCAACAACUUUUUGGGUUGUAGCAGAUGGUUGUACCUCAUUGGAAACAUUUCCAAAUGGAUUAAAACCACACCAUACACAUCGUACACAUCUUUUCUUCUUGAAUUGCUUCAAAUUGGCUGGUCGGAGUGGCAUGUUCAUUAACGUGCUAAGAAUGCUAUUAACAGUUCAUCAGGAAAUUUGCAAGCAAUCUAUAAUAUUAUAUCCCUUUGGUUCCUUUAAUAUUGUGAUUCCUGGAAGUGAAAUUCUGAAAUGGUUUAGUCAUCAGAGUGUGGGGAAUAGAGUUAAUGAACAAGUUACUCAUCCCAACAGAAAUGUGAAUAUACAAGUGCCUUCUUGUUUGAGUAAUAUGUGGAUUGGUAUUGCUGUGUGUGCUGUUUUGUCAUGCCCCAAUUUUUAUAUUUCUAAUAUUUUGAGAUGUUGCAUUCUAAUCAAUAAACAUAAAGGUUCAAACUUUUCUGUAGGCAUUAACCCUAGAUUGGUUAAGAUUAAAUCACAUCACCUUUGGUUGUCCUAUCUACCCUCUCAAAUGUUUAAUGAGAAAGUGAGAGCAAUAUUGAGUCAAAUUGAUGAGAAUGGAAUCAUACAGAUUGAGGUUGGAUUUCGAUGGGAUUCCAACUACUUCCUGGAGGUUAAUAAAUGUGGGUUUCGUAUGGUAUACGAUUCACCAUGAUUUUCACAUUUCAACAGAAGGUAUCAAAAUGAAGCGAAGUUGUGAUGAAUAUGAAGGGGCUAGAGCUAGUGGAGAAGGCAGCUCUAACAAUGUCCCACACUCAAAGAGGACUGAAAGAUAGAGAAUGUAUGGGCUCAUGCUAACUUUGAUUGUGAGAAUUCUAAUGAAGGUGGCCUAGGACGGGUGCAUGGAACUGUAUAAGGAUGAAAUGCCCAAAGGUUAAAUGGUGAUGAACAUCAUCUGGUUUCCCAAAGUAAUUCCAAAACAUGUGGUUUCCCAAAGUAAUUCCAAAACAUGUGUUUAUAGGCUGGGAAAGACUAAUGGUUCUCAACAGAAUGUCCACAAAAGAUUGAAUGUGUAGUGAUAUGCUAAUCUUGAUGCUCAGUGUGUUAUUUGUAAAAGAAGAGUUAAAAAGUAUGGACCACUUGUUUUGUGAUUGUUCUUUCUCGAUGAGAAUAUCAUGAACCAUAAUGAGAUUAUGCUCUAGGAUGUGAAAUCCAUUGUGUCUAUACAGGCAUCGUGGUCUACAGUGUAUCAUAAUGGCUUCAGAGGAAUGCCAAUAUUCAUCAAGGAAGACUACUUUCUGAAGAGGCUAUGGUCAAAAUGAUUGGGUGGGAAGUGCAGAAAAGAGUUGAAUAUAGCAAUUACUGCAGUUCUGUAAAUGGUCCUUGUCUCUGUAAACUAACAAUGUUGGAGUUUUAACUUUGUAAUGUUUUAUUAUUGUUAGAGAUUUUACUUUGUAAUGUGUAUGGUGUAGGCUGUUUCUGUAUUGGUGUUGUAUUCUUUAGAGGUGUUUUGGACUAAUUGUACGUCUGUUUCUGUUGAAAUUUGCUCAUUCAUCCCCAAAAAAGGAAAGCAUUCUUUUUCAA